GGGGUUGUGGCUCAGCGGUAGAGCACUUGCUUAGCACGUAUGAGGCCCUGGGUUUGAUCCUCAGCACCACA
rnacentral:tRNA from 1 species